rnacentral:lncRNA from 1 species
UUAGAUCUCUUCUUAGCUGAUACACUUCUUGUUGGUG